CUACGGGUGGCUCCAGUGGGGAAUAUUGCUCAAUGGAGGAAACUCUGAUGCAGCAACGCCGCGUGGAGGAUGACACUUUUCGGAGCGUAAACUCCUUUUAUAUAGGAAGAAGAUGACGGUACUAUAUGAAUAAGCGCCGGCUAACUCCGUGCCAGCAGCCGCGGUAAUACGGAGGGCGCAAGCGUUACUCGGAAUCACUGGGCGUAAAGAGCGUGUAGGCGGAUUAAAAAGUCAGAAGUGAAAUCCUAUAGCUUAACUAUAGAACUGCUUCUGAAACUCUUAAUCUAGAAUAUGGGAGAGGUAGAUGGAAUUUCUGGUGUAGGGGUAAAAUCCGUAGAGAUCAGAAGGAAUACCGAUUGCGAAGGCGAUCUACUAGAACAUUAUUGACGCUGAGACGCGAAAGCGUGGGGAGCAAACAGGAUUAGAUACCCUUGUAGUC
rnacentral:rRNA from 1 species